UGGGGAAUAUUGCACAAUGGAGGGAACUCUGAUGCAGCGACGCCGCGUGAACGAAGAAGGCUUUCGAGUCGUAAAGUUCUUUUAUAUGGGAAGAUAAUGACGGUACCAUAAGAAAAAGCCCCGGCUAACUACGUGCCAGCAGCCGCGGUAAUACGUAGGGGGCUAGCGUUGUCCGGAAUCACUGGGCGUAAAGGGUUCGCAGGCGGAAAUGCAAGUCAGGUGUAAAAGGCAGUAGCUUAACUACUGUAAGCAUUUGAAACUGCAUAUCUUGAGAAGAGUAGAGGUAAGUGGAAUUCCUAGUGUAGCGGUGAAAUGCGUAGAGAUUAGGAGGAACACCGGUGGCGAAAGCGGCUUUUUGGCCUGCAACUGACACUGAGGCGCGAAAGCGUGGGGAGCAAACAGG
rnacentral:rRNA from 1 species